rnacentral:rRNA from 1 species
UACGAAGGGGGCUAGCGUUGCUCGGAAUCACUGGGCGUAAAGGGUGCGUAGGCGGGUCUUAAGUCAGGGGUGAAAUCCUGGAGCUCAACUCCAGAACUGCCUUUGAUACUGAGGAUCUUGAGUUCGGGAGAGGUGAGUGGAAUUGCGAGUGUAGAGGUGAAAAUUCGUAGAUAUUCGCAAGAACACCAGUGGCGAAGGCGCUCACUGGCCCGAUACUGACGCUGAGGCACGAAAGCGUGGGGAGCAAACAGGG